UACGAAGGGGGCUAGCGUUGCUCGGAAUCACUGGGCGUAAAGGGUGCGUAGGCGGGUCUUUAAGUCAGGGGUGAAAUCCUGGAGCUCAACUCCAGAACUGCCUUUGAUACUGAAGAUCUUGAGUUCGGGAGAGGUGAGUGGAACUGCGAGUGUAGAGGUGAAAUUCGUAGAUAUUCGCAAGAACACCAGCGGCGAAGGCGGCUCACUGGCCCGGUACUGACGCUGAGGUGCGAAAGCGUGGGGAGCAAACAGG
rnacentral:rRNA from 1 species